AGCGAACGCUGGCGGUAGGCCUAACACAUGCAAGUCGAACGGCAGCACAGUAAGAGCUUGCUCUUACGGGUGGCGAGUGGCGGACGGGUGAGGUAGACAUCGGAAUCUACUUUUUCGUGGGGGAUAACGUAGGGAAAGCUACGCUAAUACCGCAUACGACCUACGGGUGAAAGCAGGGGAUCUUCGGACCUGUUGCGGAUGAAUGAGCCGAUGUCGGAGUAGCUAGUUGGCUGGGUAAAGGCCCACUCAGGCGACGAUCCGUAGCUGGUAUGAGAGGAUGAUCAGCCACCCUGGAGGUGAGACAGGGUCCAUACUCCUGCGGGAGGCAGCAGAGGGGAAUCUUAGACAAUGGUGGCGAGCCUGAUCCAGCCAAACCGCGUGUGUGAAGACGGCCUUCGGCUUGUAAAGCCCUUUUGUUGGGAGAAAAAAGCAGUAGGUUAAUACCCCGCUGUUCUGACGGUACCCAGAGAAUAAGCACCGGCUAACUUCGUG
rnacentral:rRNA from 1 species